rnacentral:tRNA from 1 species
GCGAGAGUGCUGGAAUUGGCAGACAGGCUACUUUGAGGGGGUAGUAUCCAUUGGGUGUACGGGUUCAAGUCCCGUCUUUCGCACCA